AGCGGCGGACAGGUGAGUAACGCGUGGGUAACCUGCCCUGUACACACGGAUAACAUACCGAAAGGUAUGCUAAUACGAGAUAAUAUGCUUUUAUCGCAUGGUAGAAGUAUCAAAGCUCCGGCGGUACAGGAUGGACCCGCGUCUGAUUAGCUAGUUGGUAAGGUAACGGCUUACCAAGGCGACGAUCAGUAGCCGACCUGAGAGGGUGAUCGGCCACAUUGGAACUGAGACACGGUCCAAACUCCUACGGGAGGCAGCAGUGGGGAAUAUUGCACAAUGGGCGAAAGCCUGAUGCAGCAACGCCGCGUGAGCGAUGAAGGCCUUCGGGUCGUAAAGCUCUGUCCUCAAGGAAGAUAAUGACGGUACUUGAGGAGGAAGCCCCGGCUAACUACGUGCCAGCAGCCGCGGUAAUACGUAGGGGGCUAGCGUUAUCCGGAAUUACUGGGCGUAAAGGGUGCGUAGGUGGUUUCUUAAGUCAGAGGUGAAAGGCUACGGCUCAACCGUAGUAAGCCUUUGAAACUGGGAAACUUGAGUGCAGGAGAGGAGAGUGGAAUUCCUAGUGUAGCGGUGAAAUGCGUAGAUAUUAGGAGGAACACCAGUUGCGAAGGCGGCUCUCUGGACUGUAACUGACACUGAGGCACGAAAGCGUGGGGAGCAAACAGGAUUAGAUACCCUGGUAGUCCACGCCGUAAACGAUGAGUACUAGCUGU
rnacentral:rRNA from 1 species